CCCUAAACCGACACAGGUUCGUAGGUAGAGAAUACUAAGGCGUAGAGCUAAAAGUUGUUAAGGAACUCGGCAAGUUAACCUCAUAAGCUAGAUGAUAAGAGGUACCGCUUAAUUGAGCGGUGACACAUAAUCGGAGGCCCCGACUGUUUACUAAAAACACAUCACAGUGCAAUCAUUAAUAUGAUAGUAUACUGUGUGAAAUUUGCCCGAUGCCAUUAAUAUAAGAACGGUCAUUUGUAGCUAACACUACAACUAAAAGUGACUUAUCGAAAGUCUGGUUAAUAGCGGUCAAGUUAAGGCCGCGUGUUAUGCUAAUUAUAAC
rnacentral:ncRNA from 1 species